rnacentral:rRNA from 1 species
AGAGUUUGAUCAUGGCUCAGGACGAACGCUGGCGGCGUGCUUAACACAUGCAAGUCGAACGGUAAGGCCCUUCGGGGUACACGAGUGGCGAACGGGUGAGUAACACGUGGGUAAUCUGCCCUGCACAUCGGGAUAAGCCUGGGAAACUGGGUCUAAUACCGAAUAGGACCACAGGACACAUGUCCUGUGGUGGAAAGCUUUUGCGGUGUGGGAUGGGCCCGCGGCCUAUCAGCUUGUUGGUGGGGUGAUGGCCUACCAAGGCGACGACGGGUAGCCGGCCUGAGAGGGUGUCCGGCCACACUGGGACUGAGAUACGGCCCAGACUCCUACGGGAGGCAGCAGUGGGGAAUAUUGCACAAUGGGCGAAAGCCUGAUGCAGCGACGCCGCGUGGGGGAUGACGGCCUUCGGGUUGUAAACCUCUUUCACCAUCGACGAAGGUCCGGGUUUUCUCGGGCUGACGGUAGGUGGAGAAGAAGCACCGGCCAACUACGUGCCAGCAGCCGCGGUAAUACGUAGGGUGCGAGCGUUGUCCGGAAUUACUGGGCGUAAAGAGCUCGUAGGUGGUUUGUCGCGUUGUUCGUGAAAUCUCACGGCUUAACUGUGAGCGUGCGGGCGAUACGGGCAGACUUGAGUACUGCAGGGGAGACUGGAAUUCCUGGUGUAGCGGUGGAAUGCGCAGAUAUCAGGAGGAACACCGGUGGCGAAGGCGGGUCUCUGGGCAGUAACUGACGCUGAGGAGCGAAAGCGUGGGGAGCGAACAGGAUUAGAUACCCUGGUAGU